UAUCCACUCAGCCAUCUCUCC
rnacentral:tRNA from 1 species